rnacentral:lncRNA from 10 species
CCCUAGGCAGCGUCUUCAGACUUCCAAAUAAGCCUGAAGAGGACAGGAGAGCGAGCAAUGUCUCCCUGAAUGGGACUACAGGGGACGCUGGUAACCGCACCUCAUUCAGCAACUUGAGAAACAUCAGCAAUAAUACUACAAGCAAUCGCUUAGGUACUUGACUGUGAGCAGGAAUAUGAGACAAGUGGAACACACUGGCUCUCAUUUUUUAAAGAUGAUUUCACCUUAAGAGGCCGUGGAACCCCAAAGUCAACCCCCAAGCAUCCCCAGAAGAAAAGUACACUUUGAAUAAUUACAGUCCUUUAACUUUCCUGAUUCAACCUUCAAAGGCCACGAAUUGCUUCUAACGAAGAAGCUGAAGUGAAAGAAGAAGGAACGUCAACAAAAAUGUCUGUUUGUGUUAUCUCUUUACUUUCACGGUUUAUAGGUUUGGGGGAAAGUUUUUAUUUUCGGUGGAAUAGAAGAAGGGAAGAAGAGAGACUAAAAAGCAUUUCUUAGAUUUCCAGAAGCAGUAAUGGAAAAUCCCGACCCUAGAGUCUUGCUUUCUUCCUAGAAAUAGAAUGCUCCUGAAGUUCCCAGGAGAGCCCUUGGCAGACAGAUGUCAAUCAUUCCAUCCCUUGUUUUGCUGGGUGGAGUCACUGGAGCUUAAAGAAGGGGAAGUAAACUCAAGCACACAUCCUGGUGACCUCUAGCCACGGGUCAAAUUUCACUGAUGUCAAUUAAAAAUGACCAAAGACCCGCCCCUGUGAAAACCCUGUGGGCAGCCAUUUUGUCUCAGGGAAACUGCCCAGAUCUGAUGUAAAGUAUUUCCGGACGUCUCUUCGUUGUAUAUGGCAUUUCCCUGAAAUAAGCAACUCUCUGAAAAAUAUCAUAGCGCAGAUCAAAAUGAAGUACUCUGUGGUGAAGUAGAAGUACACAGUCAACAAAGAAACUUGCCCUCAGGCUGCACAGUAAAACGUUGGAAAUCCCAGAGCAGCAACUUGGAAAUCCCACCUGCUACAUAUUUGCCUGAGUACUUUAAGGUUCUAUGGACAAUUGUCUCUCUGCGUAGAUUAACCUUAAAUAAACUUGUUGCGUUUUGA